AACCAAAUGUAUUUCUGAAACCCCUUUUUGCAUCAUCAAUAGUUGAAGAUGUUCCAACGUUCGUAGAUGACCCUCAGGGUCAUAUAACAACCAGAGUUGCUGUAGAGUGGACAUGAGUUCAACACUCAGGAGUCAAUGUCUUAUCUUUUGUCUUUUUCAUAGCCUGAGAGAGAAUAUAUUCCAAUAUUUUUUUUUUUUAAUCUACACAUUUUAUUAUGGAUUUUAUUUUUUGGGACUUACGCCGAAAAUAGUGGGAUGUUGAAGGGCUACGUAAAGGACCAGGCGCAGUUUGCUUCUGAGAAUCCCUGUCUAUCCCCGUCUAACUGUCGCUUCCCAAUCAAUUAUGUCCGGUAGCCUCUGGAUAUCCUGCGAACGUUAGAUAAUAUUAACAUGUUAUACGAUAUAUAUACACAUUUUUAAAAUUACAGGAAUGUGGGCAUUUUACAUAAAAUAAAAUAAAUCGCUGUCAUCGGUUUAAAACACAACUCCUGUUUAAUAUUACAAUAAUAUCCAUAAUAUUCAAACAAUUCCCAGAGUCCAAAUCUUAAAAUAUAUUUUUUUCACGAACUCACCUUCUGAAAGCUCCAUUAGGAUGGAUUAACAGACUCUUUUUCUCUGUCCUGGCCGAUAAAUAUUCGGGGCUGUUGACCUGUUGGCUUGUAGCUGCGCUAAAGCGGUGCUAACAGGGUGGGAAAGUAUAUGCUUCACUAGACUCGUUCGCGGUCAUGGCUCAAAACGAGAGAAAGUACGGAAUUAGUUUACGGGGCAUUGUGGUGAUGUUUUUUUACGGGCGAUAUCAUGUAUGCAACACCCUGUAUAUUUGGUUUAGAGAACUAAGGCAGUGAAUUCAAACAACAGGAGGGGUGACGAGACAUUUUGUAUGCAUGUAUUUCCUGCAUCCUCAGGGUUAGCACCUUGGGGGGUGUCCGCACACCCACAUGGAUUUUCCGUGUCUUUUUCUUAGCGACAGACCGGGGUGAUAGAUGGAAAGGACAUAUUCCUAUCGUUAAAAGACAUUGCAUUUCUCCGCGACAGACCGGGCGAGAGAAAACAAGAGAUCCCCUUUCGUUAAAGGAUAUAGGUCCUGGUUAGCCCUGACCUGCAUCCGUUUCCAAUUCCCCCUACGCCAUGACAUUCUUGCACGCUCCAUCAAAGCUCCGUAACUUUUCCCUCCAUGGGUAGAUAAUCUGUCCGGCAUAUAGGUCCUAAUUAAUAAGAUGGGUAGAAAAUGAAUCUGUUUAAGUCAUAACUAAAGGCCUUUCAUAAAGAGGCUGUCAUGAUUGACUGUGACACAUAUUUAACACGUAUUGCUUGUUAACGAAGACUACUGUUGUACAUUGAAUAUCCACUAGCAGAUUGUUGUUGCAUCUCCACUAUAUCUGUCAUGUUACUGUGGUCUUUUUAAAAGUCAAUAAACAUGUGUGUAGAUUAUA